rnacentral:rRNA from 1 species
AACGCGAAGAACCUUACCCAGGCUUGACAUGCAGCAGACCGGUCCAGAGAUGGGCCUUUCCUUCGGGACUGCUGCACAGGUGCUGCAUGGCUGUCGUCAGCUCGUGCCGUGAGGUGUUGGGUUAAGUCCCGCAACGAGCGCAACCCUUAUCAUUAGUUGCCAACAUUUAGGUGGGAACUCUAAUGAGACUGCCCGGGUUAACCGGGAGGAAGGUGAGGAUGACGUCAAGUCCGCAUGGCCCUUAUGUCUGGGGCUACACACGUGCUACAAUGGUCGGUACAGAAGGCAGCGAAACCGUGAGGUGAAGCAAAUCCCGAAAGCCGGCCCCAGUUCAGAUUGUAGUCUGCAACUCGACUACAUGAAGAUGGAAUUGCUAGUAAUGGCGAGUCAGCAACAUCGCCGUGAAUACGUUCCCGGGCCUUGUACACACCGACUGUAC